rnacentral:rRNA from 1 species
UACGUAGGGUCCGAGCGUUGUCCGGAAUUAUUGGGCGUAAAGAGCUCGUAGGCGGUUUGUCGCGUCUGCUGUGAAAUCCCGAGGCUCAACCUCGGGCCUGCAGUGGGUACGGGCAGACUGGAGUGCGGUAGGGGAGAAUGGAAUUCCUGGUGUAGCGGUGGAAUGCGCAGAUAUCAGGAGGAACACCGAUGGCGAAGGCAGUUCUCUGGGCCGUAACUGAUGCUGAGGAGCGAAAGCGUGGGGAGCGAACAGG